GCGUUUUGAGAAGGAAACAGGGCAAUUUGAUCGUCCAAAGUGAAAUGGCAAAUAGGCUUGUCUCCAGGCUUAACGUUGAGCAACUGAAAAGGCAAUGCCUUAGGGUUCAUGGAUGCAGUAUCCUCAUGGCAGACUGAUACUGCAUUAACUUUUGUUCCAUCAGCACCCACCAUAGACACCAUAAAUGUCCUAGUGCUUCCUACAUCAUGGCAAAAGUGUACUGCAUAUGGGUAAGCUACUUUGUGACAUACAACACCUUUGCCAUUUGCUUUCUCUUCCACUUUUUCGAUGGUAUAUGCUUGCACCUCUGGAGUUUCCUUCUCUACUUCAGUGGACAUUGCUAUAAUAUUGUUUGUUCCCAGGUGAGAUAAGGUGAAAUCAAUCAUAGAUUCCAAAGAAGUGGCACAAUGUUUUACCUCUCCGUUACCCGCAGGCUCUUCACACGUUUUGAUUGUUUUCUUGAUGUCUUUAGCACGUUCUGAGUCCUUAUCAACAGAGAAGUGAUUAAGAAUUUCCUCAAUUUUGUCCGAUGAGAAAGCGAUGGAAUCUACAACUUUGCGUGGCAAAAUGGGUGCUGGAUUGUAGUUUUUGAGAGACUGAAGAUUCAUUUUUUUCCCUUGAUGUAAAUCUGUUUCAAAGAAGUAUGGCGUCACUGGGUGAUUGUCAUUAAGAUCUUUCUUAGCAGCAUCAUUUUACCAUCCAAACACUCCAUAUGGUUGACGUACUUUGUGAAGCUCAUUCUCGGAGGCAGCCUGAUACCAUCCAAACACUCCAAAUGGUUGGCGUACUUUGUGAAGCUCGUUCUCGGAGGCAUCAUUGUACCAUCUACCCACUCCAAAUGGUUGGCGUACUUUCUGAAGCUCGUUCUC
rnacentral:lncRNA from 1 species